UAGUUAUAGCAGAGUGGAAUCUUCAAAAG
rnacentral:piRNA from 2 species